UACGGGGGGAGCAAGCGUUGUUCGGAUUCAUUGGGCGUAAAGGGUGCGUAGGCGGCGCGGUAAGUCGGGUGUGAAAUCUCGGAGCUUAACUCCGAAACUGCAUUCGAUACUGCGGUGCUUGAGGACUGGAGAGGAGACUGGAAUUCAUGGUGUAGCAGUGAAAUGCGUAGAGAUCAUGGAGGAAGACCAGUGGCGAAAGGCGGGUC
rnacentral:rRNA from 1 species